CGCUUUCUUGGGCUUAAAUGAGCUAAUGACCAAGCAAGACAAAGCUUGAAAAUUGUAUCCCUUAUUAUAAAAAAUUGCAGGAAGAAAGCAUGAUGUAAACAAGUGAUCAGAGAAAUCCCUUAGGUAGGGAGAAAAUUGAAGCUUUCACCUUGGAACAAACGCUAUUGAUUGAUGAUAUGUUUUCCCUUUGGUGACAUCAUACGAUGCUUCUGUGCUGAUUCGUGAAAUUAAAAGCGACGUAUGGAGACGUAAAUUCCAAGGUGAAGUUUUUUUAAUACCAUUUCCGAAAUGAAAAAUAUGGAAUAUAUGAAUCCACUGAGAUUCUACAGUGGGUUUUGAGCGAUGAGGCGAAAUGAAAUAAUAUUAAGCCAUGGAAACAAAUUAAAUAACAGACAGAUAAAAAAUGCACUGAGCUCAGAAGAAUUUACGCAAACUCUGAAAUAUUAAAUUUGCUAGAAAAUAAAUGAUAUAAAGUUUCUAAUGGGUUUCACUUCAUUGUUUACAAACGCAAAAGUUUAAGGAUGAUUGGCUUUCCGUGUGAGCAUUGAUGGUUUUACUUUCAUUACUAUAUUAGUAAAAUAGCACUUGUACUGAAAUAAUAAAUAUUCUUUUCUCAUC